AGUGACUCUUAUUGCUACUUUAGAGCUAUUUUAAGGUCCUGUUUUGAGCAUUUCUUAUACGAUUUAUUUUACUAUUUACAGUGUCUGGUAAGAGAUCUCCUAGUACGUGUAGGUUUUUCACCUACUUUUAUUCAUUUAUCUCUCAUAGCUUUUAUGGGGGCUUUCUUUUACUAGUAGAGAAUUCCUACCUGUCUGUUUCUAUCC